GAGGGUAUAGCUCAAGUGGUAGAGUGCGUACUUAGCAUGCAUGAGGUCCUGGGUUCAAUCCCCAGUACCUCCU
rfam:Camelus ferus unplaced genomic scaffold scaffold200, whole genome shotgun sequence.